AUUGCUUCUCAGCCUUUUGACUAAGAUCAAGUGUAGUGUCUGUUCUUGUCAGCUUAAUAUCUGCUGCAUCCUCUAUUCGAGAACAAUAUUUGUUUUAAUUAUUUAUUUUAUUUUAUUUUUGAGUUAGAGACUCACUCUGUCACCCAGACUGGACAGAGCAUGCAGUGGCACGCUCACAGCCACUGCAGCCUCA
rnacentral:snRNA from 1 species